ACACGACUACAUUAGAUACCCGUGUAGUCCAGGGUGUAAACGCUGCGGGCUUGGUGUUGGGGUCCUUUGAGGGCGCCCAGUGCCGGAGAGAAGUUGUUAGGCCUGCUGCGUUGGGGAGUACGUCCGCAAGGAUGAAACUUAAAGGAAUUGGCGGGGGAGCACCGCAACGGGAGGAGCGUGCGGUUCAAUUGGAUUCAACGCCGGAAAUCUUACCGGGACCGACAGCAACAUGAAGGCCAAGCUGAAGACUUUGCCGGAUUAGCUG
rnacentral:rRNA from 1 species